rnacentral:rRNA from 1 species
UUUAACAAAAACAUGUCCUUUUGAGUUUAAUUUAAGGUCGGGCCUGCCCACUGGUAUAGAUUGAAGGGCCGCGGUAUUUUGACCGUGCAAAGGUAGCAUAAUCAUUAGUCUUUUAAUUGAGGGCUGGAAUGAAUGGUUUGACGAAAUAUUAACUGUCUCUUUAUGAUAAGUAAAAUUUAACUUCUGAGUCAAAAGGCUUAGAUGGGUAUAAAAGACGAGAAGACCCUAUAGAUCUUUAUAUAAUUAGUGUACUUGUUAAUUUAGUUGUGUUGAUUAUAGUUAUAUUAUUGUAUUUUGUUGGGGUGACAUGAAGAUAAAAUUAACUCUUUAUAAUGGAAACAUUGAUUUAUGAUUAAUUGAUCCGUUAUUAGCGAUUAUAAGAUAAAGUUACCUUAGGGAUAACAGCGUAAUUUUUUUUGAGAGUUCUUAUCGACAAGAAAGAUUGCGACCUCGA